rnacentral:lncRNA from 1 species
AACUGCUAAUCUUUGAUACCACUUUAUACUCACGAUCUUGUAUCCACUGACUGUCUCGUUAGAUUAACCCAACAAAUUUCAUUCACUUCGCAUACUCAAUCCUAUAGAUACCUUUUUAAUUCUUCAAUCAUAGACCUAACUCGAUUUCACAAAACAGUUAAGAGUAAUCACACCCACUUCAUUAAAACCCCGAUUCACUAGUACAACACUGACUUUAGCAACGAUUGCCUCAGUCUUCUCAAAACCCUAUAAAGAAAAAAAAAAACCUGAUUCUUUGUCUUUUCUUUUCCGAAGCAUGAAGCUAGCUCUCCGAUUCUUCUCCAACCUUAUUCUCUCCCCCC